rnacentral:lncRNA from 1 species
UCUUCUGAGUCUUCUCUCAAUUGGGUUUCUUUCAAAUGGGUUACUUCUAAUGAUGUAGCACCAACCUUAAAUGGAGUUAUAGCAGAUCUAUUAAUCAAAUCUAAUUAUUUUUGUUGUUUGAGUUUUUGAUUGAUCGAUUUUUUUUGUUGUUGUUCAAGUUCUUACCAGUUGAUGGAAACUCUUGAGAGAGAAAGUUGGUAUCAUAAUGGUUUACUGGGUUUAAGAAGUUGAACAUAAAUGGGUGCAAGACUUGAAAGAUUGCUAGAUAUUAUUAUUAUUUUUUUUCGUUGUUUAUUUUUCUUGGGUUCUUGCUGGGUUUAAGAUGUACAUGAAUAAGUUGGAUUUGGUGAUAGUUUCAAGAGAUUGCCUGUUAGCAAAGUUAGUUGGUAUAUAAAUGUAAUUUGAAUUACCUUUGAUUUGUUUUUGAAGAACCUAAAUCCAAAUUCUAAAUGACGAAGAAGAUCUAAAUGUCUUUGGCUUUCGUGGUCAGAUAGGUGUUAAUAGAGAUAGGGGGGAUGUUAAGAUUUAUUUAUUUUUUGUUUGGUUUUUGUUCUGGGAAUGUAUUUGGAGCAGGAUCCUUGGUCAACAUAACAAAGUAAAGAAAACGUUUUCAUCAAGUUUCUAUUAUCGAAUUUAUUCAUUUGAGGGGUUGAUGGAGUGAAAAAGUCAUUUUUACCCUCAUUUUUCGGACCCACGUGCAUCACACAUGGUUACUGUUAACGGCGACGUGACGGAAAUAAACCGCAGGUAUGCCAUAGAUACUAAAAAUUGAGUCUGGGUACUUCUUUGAUAACUUUGUAAGGUCGGGUAUCAUAUUGUCAGUCACGCAAGAGUUUAGACACUGUUGAUGCAAAAAACCCCUCAUGUUAUUAGUAGACCUAACUCAUGUUAAUAGUAGACUUUGCAUCUUAGAGUACUUGAUCCAACUUUGAAGAACAAUCUCCAGAACGAAUUUCCAGAAAGUCUACUUUUAUGUGAUUUUGCUCAUCCAAAUGGUAGACAUUUCUGAUAAAAAAAGUAGUUGUGUCUUAUGUUAAAUGUAGACUUUGCAACUUUUACCUUUGGUUGGUUCAAUCUCAAGAACUAUUUAUAUUUCUAGAAAGUCUACUUUUCUGUGAUUUUGCUUAUCUAAAUGGUAAACAUUUCUAAUAAAAAUAGUAGAUGUGUCUUAUGUUAAACGUAGACUUUACAACUUUUGCCUUUAAUGGGUUCAAUCUCAAGAACCAUUUUGAUUUCCAGAAAGUCUACUUUUCUGUGAUUUAGCUCAUCUAAAUGGUAGACAUUUCUAAUGAAAAUAGUAGAUGUGUCUUAUGUUAAAUGUAGACUUUGCAACUUUUGCCUUUAAUGAGUUCAAUAUGAAGAACCAUUUUGAUUUCCAGAAAGUCUACUUGUUUUGUGAUUUUGCUUAUUUAAAUGGUAGACAUUUCUCAUGAAAAUAGUAGUUGUGUCUUAUGUUAAACGUAAACUUUGCAACUUUCACCUUCAUUUAUUGAUUUAAUCUCAAGAACAAUUUUGAUUUCCAGAAAGUCUACUUUUUUGUGAUUUUGCUUAUCUAAAAGGUAGACAUUUCUUAUGAAAAUAGUAAUUGUGUCUUAUGUUAAAUGUAGACUUGCAAAUUUUACAUUUGGUUGGUUCAAUCUUAAGAACCAUUUUUAUUUCCAGAAAGUCUAUAUCUAUGUGAUUUUUCUCAUCUAAAUGGUAGAUAUUUCUCAUGAAAAUAGUAGUUGUGUCUUAUGUUAAAUAUAGACUUUGCAAUUUUCACCUUCCAUUAUUGAUUCAAUCUCAAGAACAAUUUUGAUUUCUAGAAAGUCUACUUUUUUGUGAUUUUGCUUAUCUAAAUGGUAGACAUUUCUCAUGAAAAUAGUAGUUGUGUCUUAUGUUAAAUGUAGACUUUCCAACUUUUGUCUUAAAUGAGUUCAAUCUCAAGAGAGCAUACAAGAGGAGUUAGUUUCUUACAACGAAAUCGAUUUUAGUAAGAAAUUGACAUAUCGAUGAGACAAGAGAGGGAGGGAGAGAGAGAGAGAGAGAGAGAGAGAGAGAGAGAGAGAGAGAGAGAGAGAGAGAGAGAGAGAGAGAGAGAG